UUUCUAUUAACAUUUACAUUUGUUCCUCUCUACCUGAAACUGAGAGAAGGCGGCCAUGGAGAUCGACAAAGAGAUCGAGUAAUUGGAAGGGAGAAAUGAGUUUUAUUGAGUUGCAGUAAGAUGGGCUUGAUCUUGAGUGUGUUGUUGAGUAUUACAAGGAUUUUUGCUGAGUUGAAUUUGAAGAUUACAGUGAGAAUUGAUUUGCUGCUGAAUCGAGAUUGUUCGAAGGUUGAGAAGGAAAUUAAGGCUGGGUUUCUGCUGCUGUGGUCAUUCACAGUUAGGGUUUUUGUUGGAUUUUGUUGUUAUUCUCGAUUGAUGGUUUGUGGAAGAUGUUGGUGAUGAUUACAGAAAUUAGGGUUUGUGGAUGACAUUGCUGUUAUCGAUUGAAUAAGAAAACAAGACAGGUUUGGGUUGUGCUGGAUUCAAGGGUGCAGAGAGUUAGAAGAGGAACUUGAAACUGCUGUAGGAUAACAAAUGAAGAAUGGCUUGAAGAAAUAGACAACACUGGUGGUGAUUUUUGAUGUUUUAUGAACUACUGAAGUUGCAGUUGAGAUGUAAUGAAGAAGAUAGAGCCGAAGUUGCAGGUGAGUGAAGAGGACAAUGGUGUUGUCUUAGGAUGAAUGUGAAGUUGUAGGAAAUGCAGUGGUAAUCUUGGUGUUACAGAGAAAGAUUGGAAUGUGUUGCAACCCAAUACAGGCAACGGAUUCAGAUGGCUAUGGAUGAAUGGUGAUUCAGUUGGUGGUUGCCGUUGCAAGAGACAAGAAUGGGUAUUUGAUUUGGCACUAAACUGAAAUGGGUUUGAGGCAAUGUGUGCAGGUGUUAGCAAUGAACUGAGAUACUGAGAAGAAUGAGUAUUGGCUGGGAAGAUAUCAUUUGAGCAGGUUCUACAAUUGGAACAAGGAAAUGAUUUGAAAUGAUGUUGUGUAUGUGAAGCUACAAGAAGUGUGAAGUUGCAGCGAAGGCAAGGAAGUAAUGCAGUUGAAAUGUGCUGAAUUAGAUGUAUGAUGCAGGAAGUGAUCGAAGCUAAUGGGUGAUGCUGUGACGGAUGCAGAACUGGAACUAGUGGUCAAGAUGAAGCAGUUGGUGUGCAUCCGAGAAAGAUACAAGUGAUGAUGUUGUUGCAGUUGUGUGGCUGGAGCUGUUAAACUGAGCAUGGGUUUCAGAUGAGAAGCUGGUGGUUAAUGUUGAAGACAAGAAGAGAUGCAUCUCUGUGUGACUAACUGGAUGCAAUGCAUUGCAGGAUGGUGAAAAUGCUGAUAACUGGUGGUGAUUUGGUCAAGUUACAGAGUCCUGAGUAAGCUGAAUGGUGCUGAGACAAUGAAGCUGAAUAUAUGAGCAGAAUGGGUAUGGUGGUGUGCCGCUGGUGAAUCAAUAUGGGUUCGUUUUGCACAGAAAUUCAGAGAGAAAUGGAGAUUGAGCAUAUGAGGAUGAUGCAGAUUCAAAGAAAUCAGUACUGUAGCAUAUGUUCAUAAUGUGCUGAUGUUGCAGCUGCAAUCUGAGACAAGGAAGAGUACUGGUGAAUGAUGGAGGCUACAUCAAAUGGAACUAGUGUUGAGAUGACCAGGUGCUGGAUUUGGUGUUGCAGCUAUGAACUAUGGUUUAUAUGGCAGUGUGGAGUGUUAUCAAAUGUUGCUGGUAUGAACUGGUGGAUAUUUGAUUGAACAGAGAAGGUGAGAAUGUGCAUCUGCAAAUGAAGCUACAGUAAGAGUUGGAGGUGUUGUUGUUGUUGUUAUAUGAUGAUUAAGAUGGGUUUGGUGGUAAUGGAAUGUAUGAAUUGCAGCUGCAGUUGGAGGUGAAACUGAGCCUGAGAUGAAGUGCUGAAUAGAUGAAUGUUAGGAGGAUGUGAACCUAUACUGCAAUGUAUUUAUGGUCCCAGAGAAUCAAGGCAUAAGCUGUGAAGUGUGCAACUGAGCAGACAUGGCAGUGGUGGUAUGACUGAGAUGGUGAGAUUCAGAUGAAGUAAUUGGUAAGAUGAUUAUGGAGGUAAUGGUAGCAGUGGCAGUGAAGUUACAGGGAUUGGUGUUGUGUACAGCAUGAAGAGAUAUUUGGACAGAAUGGAACUGUGGUAUGCACAUCCAUAAUAGCUGGAUUGCACUUGUGAAGCGUAAUGAUGGUGCAGCACAAUCUCAAGAAAGUACAAAUGGCUCAGGCCUAGGCCAAGACCAUUCAGCCCAGUUAGCCGAGUCAGUAGCUGACUUUGACAUUGACUCGGUCUAACUUUCUAAGUUAGUCCAGUUGACCCGAGUCGAUUCAGUUGACUUGAUUGAGUUGAGUUUUGACCGGUGACCGGGUGGAUUUUGCCGGUCACCUGAGCUUUUUUCCGAUCACUUUGUCGGCCAAUUUCCGGCGCUGGUAACAGCUUUCCGACGACAUGUUUUUGGCAGAAUUUCUACAUGGGUUUUUCUCACAUAUGGGCUUGGUGAAUUUUUAUCUAAUGGACUUUGAAGAGUAGACCUAAUUUUGGGAAGCAAAGGAUUAUAAAAGAAAGACUUCUACAACUUGGAUAUCACGAUCAUAUAUUGCAUACUGCUGAGGCUCAGAAUAUUCCUUUCUAAUUUUCUUGUAAAUAUGGUUGAUGUACGAGAUGCCUCGUUCGGACUAAGAAGAUUAAGACAGCAUGAGGCCCUUGGCAUUACAGCUGAACUAAAAUCUCAAGUUAUAUCUAUAUUGCGUUUCUGUAUUUUUUUGUUAGGGUAAAGACCAAAACAAAUCAUCUAGUGAGACAAUGUAGAAAAUGAGAACUACAACAUGAGAAAGAUAGAUUCCACUGUGGCCUUUUUAUUUGCUUGUCUUUUUUAUUCUACCGAUACCUAUGUCUCAAUAUUUUUUUAUAAGUAUAAUAAGUAGU